rnacentral:lncRNA from 7 species
ACGGUUAAUAGUGGAUAUGUUUUCUCGUGUGUGUUUGCUCCUACAUAUUGGAGAAGAUUUUUCCACGUCAAUCUUUGUGUCUAUUUUAUUCCCUUUCCUAACAGUAUAUAACAAAGGUUGAUGCUAAGGAUGAAUUAACAUAUGCUAUACAUGAAUUAAAUAUACAAUUCUAUCUUAUAUGCCUUAUCAUUACUUAAGAUUAAUAGCACUUCCACAAAUUUCAUAUUUAUGCAUGUGUGCAAUCUUAAAAUCAAACUAUUUUAGUCCACACGUUUAGAGGAGUUAUUACUACAAAAUCGGGUUGUAUGAUGCUUAUCCAAAUCUUAACAAGUGGUUUUAGAGUUGAAUACAUAACCUAAAAUUAAACUAUAUUAGCAUUUUACAGUUAUACAAAGUGUUAGCUCAAAAUAAAAAAACCAUAAAUCUUGUUAAAAGCUAUGGUUUUCAUAUAAUAUUAUCUUUACAGGACAUCAUAUAAAAAUAUAUGAUUUUGUGAGCUCACAAAUCUUAGUACACGAUUAAUAUGCCCCUAAAAUUUUAUAUUAAUUCCUCGAUCACAUUUAUAAUACAUUUGACUUUUUUACCAAGUUUGAUCUGCUCGUCUUAAUUAUAUUUU